GCCUGCCUAGCUCAAUCGGAUAGAGCGUGAGACUUUUACGGACUAUAGUUCACGUGAUUGUAAUCUCAAGGCUGCCGGUUCGACCCCGGCGGUGGGCG